GGCAGGGCAUGUUUAGUGGUAGAGUGCAUGCUUAGCAAGCACAAGAUCCUGGGUUCAAUUCCCAGUACUGCCA
rnacentral:tRNA from 1 species